GUUGAUACAAUGCAACUGACUAGUUUUCGCAGUUCAUUAUCGAGAAUAUCCUGGUCACAAUGAGAGGCAUCACAGCAGUGUUCCUCGCCGCCUGUGCCCUGGUGCGGGCCCAGAGCGGGGACGGGAAGCAAGCCUGUCCACUGGAAGAGUCCGAGGACUCCCUGCUGACCAUCCUGAAGAACCCGUCCGACUGCUCCAAGUUCUACAUGUGCGUCCACGGCCAGCCGGUCGAGAUGAGCUGCCCCCAAGGACUGCUGUUCAACGACAACCUCAAGGUCUGCGACUUUCCGCAAAACGUACACUGCAGUGAGGCGUCAAAGGCGGCUACUGAAGCUUCCACCGAAUCUCCCACCGAGACUCCCACGGAGCCACCCACCGAGGCUUCCACCGAGCUUCCUACUGAGUCUCCCACCGAACUAAUCACAGAGCCUCCCACGGAGCCACCCACCGAGCCUUCCACAGAGCCGCCCACCGAGCCUCCCACCGAGCCUCCCACCGAGCCUCCCACCGAGCCUCCCACCGAUACUCCCACCGAGCCUCCCACCGAGCCUCCUACUAAGCCACCCACCGAGCUAACCACAGAGCCUCCCUCCGAGCCUCCUACUGAGCCUCCCACCGAGCCACCCACCGAGCCGCCCACCAAGCCUCCCACCGAGCCGCCCACCAAGCCUCCCACCGAGCCUCCCACCGAGCCUUCCACCGAGCCGCCCACCGAGCCUCCCACCGAGCCGCCCACCGAACCUCCCACCGAACCUCCCACCGAGCAUCCUACUGAGCCUCCCACCGAACUAAUCACAGAGCCUCCCACGGAGCCACCCACCGAGCCUCCCACCAAGCCUCCCACCGAGCCUCCCACCAAGCCUCCCACCGAGCCUCUUACCGAGCCUCCCACCGAGCCUCCUACUGAGCCUCCCACCGAGCCUCCCACCGAACCUCCUACCGAGCCUCCCACCGAGCCUCCCACCGAGCCACCCACCGAGCCUCCCACCGAGCAGCCCACCGAGCCUCCCACCGAGCCGCCCACCGAGCCGCCCACCGAGCCUCCUACCGAGCCUCAAACCGAAGCUCCCACCGAGCCUCCCACCGAGCCUUCCACCGAGCCUCCCACCAAGCCUCCCACCGAGCCUCCCACCGAGCCUCCUACCGAGCCUUUCACCGAGCCUCCUACUGAGCCUCCCACAGAGCCUCCCACCGAGCCUCCCACCGAGCCGCCCACCGAGCCUCCCACCAAGCCUCCCACCAAGCCUCCCACCGAGCCUCCCACCGAGCCUUCUACCGAGCCUCCCACUGAGCCUCCCACCAAGCCUCCCACCGAGCCUCCCACCGAGCCUCCCACCGAGCCUCCUACCGAGCCACCCACCAAGCCUCCUACUGAGCCUCCCACAGAGCCUCCCACCGAGCCUCCUACCGAGCCUCCUACCGAGCCUCCCACCGAGCCUCCCACAGAGCCACCCACCGAGCCUCCCACCAAGCCUCCCACCGAGCCUCCCACCGAGCCUCCCACCGAGCCUUCUACCGAGCCUCCCACUGAGCCUCCCACCGAGCCUCCUACCCAGCCUCCCACCGAGCCUCCCACUGAGCCUCCUACCGAGCUAACCACCGAGCCUCCCACCGAGCCUCCCACCGAGCCACCCACCGAGCCUCCCACCAAGCCUCCUACUGAGCCUCCCACAGAGCCUCCCACCGAGCCUCCUACCGAGCCUCCUACCGAGCCUCCCACCGAGCCUCCCACAGAGCCACCCACCGAGCCUCCCACCAAGCCUCCCACCGAGCCUCCCACCGAGCCUCCCACCGAGCCUUCUACCGAGCCUCCCACUGAGCCUCCCACCGAGCCUCCUACCCAGCCUCCCACCGAGCCUCCCACUGAGCCUCCUACCGAGCUAACCACCGAGCCUCCCACCGAGCCUCCCACCGAGCCUCCCACUGAGCCUCCUACCGAGCUAACCACAGAGCCUCCCACCGAACCUCCCACCGACCCUUCCACCGAGCCUCCAACCGAGCUUUCUACCGAGCCUCCUACCGAGCCUUCUACCGAGCCUCCCACCGAGCCUCCCACUGAGCCUCCCACCAAGCCUCCCACCGAGCCUCCCACCAAGCCUCCCACCGAGCCUCCCACCGAGCCUCCCACCGAGCCUUCUACCGAGCCUCCCACCGAGCCUUCUACCGAGCCUCCCACCGAGCCUCCCACUGAGCCUCCUACCGAGCUAACCACAGAGCCUCCCACCGAACCUCCCACCGACCCUUCCACCGAGCCUCCAACCGAGCCUCCCACCCAGCCUCCUACCGAGCCUCCCAUCGAGCCUCCCACCGAACCGCCCACCGAGCCUCCCACCGAGCCUCCCACCAAGCCUCCCACCGAGCCUCCCACCGAGCCUCCCACCGAGCCUUCUACCGAGCCUCCCACCGAGCCUUCUACCGAGCCUCCCACCGAGCCUCCCACUGAGCCUCCUACCGAGCUAACCACAGAGCCUCCCACCGAACCUCCCACCGAGCCUCCCACCGAGCCUCCCACCGAGCCUCCUACCGAGCCUCCCACCGAGCCUCCCACCGAACCUCCCACCGACCCUUCCACCGAGCCUCCAACCGAGCCUCCCACCGAGCCUCCCACCGAGACUCCCACCAAGCCUCCCACUGAGCUUCCCACCGAGCCUCCCACCGAGCCUCCCACCGAGCCUCCCACCAAGCCUCCCACCGAGCCGCCCACAGAGCCACCCACCGAGCUAACCACAGAGCCUCCCACGGAGCCUCCCACCGAGCCUCCCACCGAGCCGCCCACCGAGCCGCCCACCGAGCCUCCCACCGAGCCUCCUACCGAGCCUCCCACCGAGCCUCCCACCGAGCCUCCUACCGAGCCUUCCACCGAGCCUCCUACUGAGCCUCCCACAGAGCCUCUCACUGAGCCUCCCACCGAGCCUCCUACUGAGCCUCCCACCGAGCCUCCCACUGAGCCUCCUACCGAGCUAACCACAGAGCCUCCCACCGAACCUCCCACCGACCCUUCCACCGAGCUUCCAACCGAGCUUUCUACCGAGCCUCCCACAGAGCCUUCUACCGAGCCUCCCACCGAGCCUCCCACCGAGCCUCCCACCAAGCCUCCCACCGAGCCUUCUACCGAGCCUCCCACUGAGCCUUCUACCGAGCCUCCCACAGAGCCUCCCACCGAGCCUCCCACCGAGCCUCCCACCAAGCCUCCCACCGAGCCUCCCACUGAGCCUCCUACCGAGCCUCUAACCGAGCCUCCCACCGAGCCUCCCACUGAGCCUUCUACCGAGCCUCCCACAGAGCCUUCUACCGAGCCUCCCACCGAGCCUCCCACCGAGCCUCCCACCAAGCCUCCCACCGAGCCUCCCACUGAGCCUCCUACCGAGCCUCUAACCGAGCCUCCCACCGAGCCUCCCACUGAGCCUUCUACCGAGCCUCCCACUGAGCCUCCCACAGAGCCCCCCAUCACGACGGUGAAGCCCACCGUGCCCAUCAGCCUCUGCCCCGCCGAGGACCCGCAGCACGGCGAGGCAGUCAUCGUCGCCGACCCCGACGACGCCUCCAGCUUCUUCAUCUGCAGCUGGGGGGUGGCGUACCGCCAGCGGUGCGCGCCAGGCCUGGUCUUCAGCAGCUCUCUGAGGGUGUGCGACUGGCCGGAGACGGUCGCCGAGGUGCCGACCACGACGACAGCCAAGCCCGCGCCCCAGGUCUCCUGCCCCGCGGACCAGGAGCAGGGCGGCCGGGUCGUGAUACUCGCCAACGAGGCGGACAACACCAGCUUCUACAAGUGCAGCUGGGGGGUGCCGCACCUCUUCAGAUGCCCGCUGGGGCUGGUCUUCAACGACGAGCUCAAAGUGUGCGACUGGCCUUAGUAAGCAAGCGCCAUGUCCACAAAUCCGUGCAUAACGUACAACGCAUUGCAUUAGUUUCAUCACCGAUCGGCCACAUCCUAGCAACCAAGUCGCUGAUGAAGUCACGCCAACACAGCACCGAUCAGAACAGUCAUCUUACAUGUCGGCCAUCAAAUCACUACUGAACGACAAUUAAUUAUAAAGGUUAAAUAGGACUCCUUUAUACCGGAAAGGAUCGUGGUCAUAAGAUGUGAAAAAGUUCAUAUUUUGGUUUUCCUAUAAGAUCACGUCAUUAUUACUUACCAAAAUGAAAUAAAAAUUUGAAUUGUAAAAGUGUGACAACCAGCCCCGGUUUCCCCUACAUCUUAA